rnacentral:lncRNA from 1 species
AUGUUAGCGCCUGUUAGCUGGAUGUUAGUGCCUGUUAGCUGGAUGUUAAUGCCUGUUAGCUGGAUGUUAAUGCCUGUUAGCUGGAUGUUAAUGCCUGUUAGCUGGAUGUUAAUGCCUGUUAGCUGGAUGUUAAUGCCUGUUAGCUGGAUGUUAGUGCCUGUUAGCUGGAUUUUAGUUCCAGUUAGCUGGAUGUUGGUGCCCGUUAGCUGGAUGUUAGUGCCUGUUAGCUGGAUGUUAGCGCCUGUUAGCUAGAUGUUUGUGCCUGUUAGCUGGAUGUUAAUGCCUGUUAGCUGGAUGUUAAUGCCUGUUAGCUGGAUGUUAGUGCCUGUUAGCUGGAUUUUAGUUCCAGUUAGCUGGAUGUUGGUGCCUGUCAGUUUGGAUGUUAGCACCAGUUGGCUUGAUGUUAGCUCCAGUUAGCUGGACGUUAGCUGGAUGUUAGCACCUGUUAGCUGAAUUUGAGCUCCAGUUAGCUGGAUGUUAGCUCCUGUUAACUGGAUGUUAGCAUAGGGCUGGACAAUAAUUCAUUAAUAAUAUAUAUUUAUUGAUGUUUCGAUGACGUGUGGUGGGAAAAAAUGUUGAUGGCUGGCUGCGUCCUUCAUAUCAGACGUCUCCCAAAGCAGCACUGCUCACUCCUGCUUUUGUUUUGUUUCUGAUAAUCUGAAGACUAAUUGGGUCAGUUUGGUUUCAGAAGCUGAACUUGAUGGGAUAUAAAACCUGAAAGCAGCCUGCUGCGAAUGGACCAGGAUGAGGAAAACCAGAUUAUGUUGGGUUUGGUUUCACUCAUCUGAUAAAAGACUCCAGUCUUAAGUGCCUCUCUGAGUCAGACGGGGGAGGGGCUGCCUCUACAUCAGCACCACCAUACCCUUUGAACACCACCAGCAGGCAAGGAGAGUGAAGUGGCUUGCCCAACUGCACAACUGACUGGGCUCAAACCGGCAACCUACCAUUUACAGGGCGAAGCUGCUCUUCUUCUCAGGAUGGUGGAAGUUUCACUUCCUGUUUCUGGAGUCCAGUUAAAAACAAACCAGCGUUUCAUCUGGGAGCGUUUUGGUUUUAUUAUUUAAAAACUAAUGUGAUUGUUUUUCAGAAGUCUUUAUUCCUUCCAGUUUCUACUGGAUGGGUGUGUGUGUGUGUGUGUGUGUGUGUGUGUGCGUGUGUGUGUGUGUGUGUGUGUGUGUGUGUGUGUGUG